rnacentral:lncRNA from 1 species
AUAAAAUGUCCACCAUGAUGAAUACGAGAGUAUAUAUUUUCUAGUGGUUUUGUCUUUGUGGAUGACCUCAGGCCAGCAGACUGGCAGCAGGAGCCAUGCAGAGAGCAGAGGAACCAUGCUGGGUAGCACGGCCAGCUCAUCCUCUAAGCCCAGAGCCCAGCUUGCAGCAGAAGUAGAUGAGCAUCCAGAAGGAGAAGAAGAAGGGAAGAUGAGAAAGGAUGAAGAUAAUACCGUUUAUCUGUUGGAAACCAAUCCCAGUACCACCGACCGUUGACAUUGCCAACCUUUCUUCUUUUCUUAUCAUUCUGUCUCAUUUUUGGUCCUGUGGAGUGUUUAAUUCUUAUAGAGAUGUGCUUCUCAUGGUGUUGUCUCGGUUUCUGAGAAGAUGUAUCAGUCGCGUCAGCAUUGACAACUCCUGCACAGGUAUGAUGAGAACAGAACAGGUGUUCUCAAAAAAAGAUGUAACUUUUAAAAACUUGGAGAUUGAAGAUCACAAUGGAUCAUCAAAAAAUGCAAAAGAAUCAGCCCCCCAGUACAUAGUUGUGUAUUCUUCGUUGUCGGUUCUUCUAGUUGUGGCAUGUGGGACGCUGCCUCAGUGUGGUUUGAUGAGCAGUGCCAUGUCCGCGCCCAGGAUUCGAACCAACGAAACACUGGGCCGCCUACAGCGGAGCGCGGGAACUUAACCACUCGGCCACAGGGCCAGCCCCCAAGGUUGGAAAGGAAGAUGUCAUUUCAGUCCUGAAAAAGUUUGACUUGCAUCUGAAGGACGAAUAUUUUGACGAUUUCCUGAAGAGAUGCGACCUUCUAAACAGUCUGACUGGCCGUAGGAAUUUGGAUACCUGAGAAACAUCCAGGAUGGCAGCGAUGAAGGGACCACGCGCAGUCCUCUCCAAGCCCGUGCGCAGGUUGCACGGACCCUCUAUAUUGUUACUGCUAGUCUUCUAAUCAGCUAUCUCCUACCAGACCCGUUGAUAAACACAAAGGACGGUCCUCACCUUUGUGGUGCCCUGUCCUCCUGGAGACCUUGACAUUAAUGGACAAGGGCAGCCUGGUCCAGAGACGGUCCAUGAGAAGUUGGCCUUGGGAAACAAAAGUGCUACAGGAAUGAACCUACUCUGUAUUGUUACUAAAACCGU